rnacentral:rRNA from 1 species
UACAGAGGUCUCGAGCGUAGGCGGAAUCACUGGGCUUAAAGCGUGUGUAGGCGGAUUGCUAAGUACCUUGUGAAAUCCCACGGCUUACCGUGGAACUGCUUGGUAUACUGGCUGUCUUGAGCCUUAGGGGCAACCGGAACAACGGUGGAGCGGUGAAAUGCGUAGAUAUCGUUUGGAACGCCAAUGGUGAAAACGGUUGCUGGGGAGUGUGCUGACGCUUGGAGACAC